UCUGAGUUUUUGGCAUUCAUGGGGGAGAGUUCUUUAUUUUUGUGGUCUACAUAGAUGUCAUAAUCAUAUGGUUGAUGACAUGGAACUUUUCUUCCAGAUCACUUAUCCUUAACUUUCCACAUGCUAUUUAUUGUCCUCUAAAAAGCUGAGCUGUUGUGUUAUCUAAACUGAACAAUGGCCAUACCUUAAAUUUUAUCAAAUCACUCUCUUCUCCCGAAGCUGGAUUGGUUACCAAGUGUUUAUGCACUAAUCCUCAUACUGCCUAAUAUUGCAAAAGCUACUGAUAAUGGAAGAUAGAAAUUUAGAACAUAAGACUAAAAGGAGCAAAAACUGUUUUUAAGCAAGGGUUUAAACGAAAGUCUUUUUUUAAGUUAGACGUUAUAAGUUAACAUUCAAGUUUACUGAAUGUUGGACGUUAAGAAGUUCACUGCAAUCCCACUCAGUCAUAAACUUCCAAGUCUUGUGAAUGUUAGACGUUUAUAAGUUAACAUUUCAGCUUAUAAGUUAGUGAAUCCAAAUCAUAGAAGCAAUUUACUUUUCAGUAGCAAACUUCAUGGAAAUGAGUACCAAACCUCCUGAAUUAAGUGCAUUCUUGUUGGUCAUAUACUUCCACGUCUUGUGAACCUUAAACACAAAUGGGAUAAAUAUCAGCUCAUAAGUUAGUGAAUGCAUCCUUAGCAAAAAAAAGGUUAGUGAAUGCACUCAGAAGCAUUUCUUUUCAGUAGCAUACACCACGGAAGUGAGCUAGCAAACCUCCAAGUUUAAUGCAAUCCUUGUUGGUCAUACUCCCUCUUGGCAAACGAGCUGGUCGGAUUGGAUAUGGGCGGGUCGAAAACGGGUUAAACAAAAAUGGAUAAAAUAUCCGACCCACCCAUAUUUAACAUGGAUAAAAAAUGGGUUAAGCGACGGUAUUAUCCAUGGUUUUAGGAAUAGUCAGGUGAGAACACAAGCUAAAAGCCAAAAUAAGCUUAGACUCCCAUAAAGCAAGAACUCUAUGGAUAUCCAUAUUAACCAUCUGGAUAUCCAUUUUUUAAUGGAUAAUAUCCAUAUUUGAUCCAUUUUUUAAAUGGUCAGUUAUCCAACUCAUAUUUAAUGAGUUGGAUUGGAUGGUUACUUGUUCUUUCUUUAACCAUUUUGCCAACCCUAGACUCAUGUACUUCCGAGUCUUGUGAACCUUGGUGCCCUAGUGUGCUAAUAUAUCAGCUUAUAAGUUAAUGAAUGCAUCUUAUUAGGCAGAAAUACUGGUGCUGCAGUAUUCUUUCUCAAAAAUACUGUUGAUGCAGUAUUUGACAUUUGUAUAUGAAGUUACAAACAAAUUCGGAGGCAACUUCUGCCAUUUCUGAAUCUUGAAGUUGAUUUAUGUUCUAUUUCCAACUUGUCCCUCUUUUA